AUGAACGCUGGCGGCGUGCCUAAUCCAUGCCAGUCGCGCGAACAGACGAGGAGCUUGCUCCUCUGACGUUAGCGGCGGACGGGUGAGUAACACGUGGAUAACCUACCUAUAAGACUGGGAUAACUUCGGGAAACCGGAGCUAAUACCGGAUAAUAUAUUGAACCGCAUGGUUCAAUAGUGAAAGACGGUUUUGCUGUCACUUAUAGAUGGAUCCGCGCCGCAUUAGCUAGUUGGUAAGGUAACGGCUUACCAAGGCAACGAUGCGUAGCCGACCUGAGAGGGUGAUCGGCCACACUGGAACUGAGACACGGUCCAGACUCCUACGGGAGGCAGCAGUAGGGAAUCUUCCGCAAUGGGCGAAAGCUUGACGGAGCAACGCCGCGUGAGUGAUGAAGGUCUUCGGAUCGUAAAACUCUGUUAUUAGGGAAGAACAAAUGUGUAAGUAACUAUGCACGUCUUGACGGUACCUAAUCAGAAAGCCACGGCUAACUACGUG
rnacentral:rRNA from 1 species